CGCCAGACUCCUACGGGAGGCAGCAGUGGGGGAUAUUGCACAAUGGGGGGAACCCUGAUGCAGCGACGCCGCGUGGGUGAAGGAGUGCUUCGGCAUGUAAAGCCCUAUCGGCAGGGAAGAAAUUGGACGGUACCUGACUAAGAAGCCCCGGCUAACUACGUGCCAGCAGCCGCGGUAAUACGUAGGGGGCAAGCGUUAUCCGGAUUCACUGGGUGUAAAGGGAGCGUAGACGGCCAUGCAAGCCUGGAGUGAAAGCCCGGGGCCCAACCCCCGGACUGCUUUGGAAACUGUAUGGCUGGAGUGCAGGAGAGGUAAGUGGAAUUCCUAGUGUAGCGGUGAAAUGCGUAGAUAUUAGGAGGAACACCAGUGGCGAAGGCGGCUUACUGGACUGUAACUGACGUUGAGGCUCGAAAGCGUGGGGAGCAAACAGGAUUAGAUACCCUGGUACCG
rnacentral:rRNA from 1 species